AAAAAGACAAACCCUGGUUUCCGUGUCCAACUUUGACUGUCUGUCUUAUAUAAUUUUUUUUAUAAUUCGUAUUUUCAUUGUUGUUAGAUGAUAAAACAUGAUUAAUAUUUUAUGCGCGACUUAUCUUUUUAAUUUUUUUUAUAAUUUUUUCAAAUAAAACGGACGGUCAAACGUUAAACAUGGAAAACAGGGUUUGCUUUUUUU
rfam:Oryza glaberrima chromosome 10 Oglab10_0117_10, whole genome shotgun sequence.